GAUGAACGCUGGCGGCGUGCCUAAUACAUGCAAGUCGAACGAGGUGCUUUUGUAGCAAUACGAAAGUAUCCUAGUGGCGAACGGGUGAGUAACGCGUUGGUGACCUACCCCAAAGUGUGGGAUAACAGUUCGAAAGAACUGCUAAUACCGCAUGUGGUUAUCGGAUUUAGAAACUGAUAACUAAAGGAGCAAUUCGCUUUGGGAGGGACCUGCGUCCCAUCAGCUAGUUGGUGAGGUAAUGGCUCACCAAGGCUACGACGGGUAGGGGACCUGAGAGGGUGACCCCCCCACAAUGGAACUGAAACACGGUCCAUACACCUACGGGUGGCAGCAGUAGGGAAUAUUGCACAAUGGGGCGAAAGCCUGAUGCAGCAACGCCGCGUGUGCGAUGAAGGCCCUCGGGUCGUAAAGCACUUUUCUGAGAGAUGAGCAAGGACAGUAUCUCAGGAAUAAGUCU
rnacentral:rRNA from 1 species